ACACAAUAAUUCUACUUAGACUAUGGAAUCUUAGGAGUUGCAGUUUAGAGAGGAGGAUCUAGAAUUCUAGGCCAAAGUGCUCUAGCUUUUACAGUGGCUAAUAUUUUUUGUUUGUUUUACUUUUUUAAUGAGUCUUGUUUAUUUUUUAUUUUUUAGUUUAUGGAAGACUUUGGUGGUUUUCCAAAUGUAGCAAAGAAAUGCUUUAAGUAAAUAAAAAUUAGACAAUAAAUGGUAAGUACGUCACAGUAUUAAAAUGUAGAUCUAAGGCAAAAUACAGAUGGGCACUUUGUAGCAUGGCGGUUCUAGGGUUAGGGACCACACACCAACUGCACGUUCCCUAACCCUAGUAUGUCACGGUAACAGCUUCAUUGCGGCAGUCCUUCCACCCAGUCACCACCAUGAUGAUGUCGCAGCUGCAUCGCUUACAUCAUAAGUGAUCCAAUGGCACACUUGUGACGUAAGCCAGGCACCGCAAAAAGAACUGGGUUCUUUUUACUGCACAGGGACGCUGCACGGUUUGGCGGCUUCCACAGGUAAAAUGGGUGAGUCCAGCCCAGCCUUUCAGGGAGGUUUGUACUGCCCCUAAGUUAGGACUCAAGCUAACACACGCUUGGUGUCAGGAAAGACUUGGUGACAGGGACUGGGAAGAAGUAGUGUGGAAAUUCAUAUCUCUGACAGAGGAGUCAGAAAGCAACAGUUAUUUUCAGGAUGAAUUAAUUAUCUUCCCUCUGGCCAAAUUGCUGUCAUCAUCAUCCAAAAAUGGCAAAUGGUGCCCCCAUGAACAUUUGGAGUGUGCAGUUUUUCCUCUAAAUGUAAUUCACCUGGACAUCUCUCCAUACUCAUUUUGUUCUUUUUCUCAGGAAAAAGCCCUAUCUGUCUGUCUGUCUGUCUGCCUGUCUGUCCAUCCAUCUAUCCAUCUGGAACUGCCUUGGUAGAUGUAAAAAUGAGAGAUCAUUCAGUGCUGCAUGCCUGCCCAAAUGGCCAGUGUACCUUAUGCUCACUGAUGAAGAAUCCAGCCAAAUGGGAGAAAUAUCAAAUGAAUUUUCAGACAUGAUAUUGAACAACUUGGAAAAUAAGCCUUGUGAAAGAAAAAAUAAUUUACUGACAUCUGAUAACUGCAAUGUGUAAUGAGCCUCAUUUCUAAAAGCCAAAAAACAAUAAGGGAUCGAAGCACAUGGGAGAGAAAACCCUAUGCUACUGUGAAACUGUUUGAAUUGUUUAUGUUUCGGAAGAAGAGAAGCUGGCAAAAAUGGCUACCACACUGAAAGGACCUCUCCUUUGAAAUAUCCUGUGAAUAAGAUAAUCAUGGUGAAAAUCCACUUUCUGAGCAUGACUAGAGCAGACCUAUUGAUGUUAAACAGUGAUGUAACAUUCAGCUUUGAUCCCAGCUUCAUCAGCUAGUGAAUCCGGGUAAUGUCUGUUGUUAUCUGUUGUUUUUAAUUUGUUGCCUGCUUUAUUUUACUGAAUUCUAUCAUAGAAUCAUAGAAUUGUAGAGUUGGAAGAGACCACAAGGGCCAUCCAGUCCAUCGCCCUGCCAUGCAAGAAAUCAC